UGUUAAUCAAUUAUUAUAAUAUACUUGGGUACAUUUAUGCAUAGACGUAUUUUUGUUUCACUUCAACUUAUUGCACCGUGCGUACUAGUUCAGAUAGUGCAGGAACAAAAAACAGACUCAAUGUUAUCUUAGAAUGCGACUUAGUCAUAAUCCGUUUUUUUACAAUCAAAUAUCAAUUACGCCUUAAAAAUCCUACAGCGCCGAUAAAGGGUUAAUUAUAUUCAUGACAUACGGUUAAUUUAGCGUUUGAACUUCGCUCUACUUCGCACUGCACUUCUGAGCAUUUCUUAUUGGCUCGCUACGAUCGUUACGUCAUAACAUGUGACAUCAUAUGCGCAAUGGUUUUGCACACCUAUGUUUUUACAUUAUGUAAUGAGGACAGUUGAGUUCAUUGAGUCUGUUAGUUCGGUUGGUUCUAUUGAGUUUGUCACGACACCAUCAGCACUCGACAAACGAAUUUUGUAAAGUUACGUGCGACUCAAUCAUCUCUAAAAUCAGCCAAAAAGGAUUAGGAAGAAAAGAACAUCAACGAGGAAGGUCUAUUAUAUGAUGCAGGCAUCGCAGAUUAAAGAUUAAAAAUUGCUGGAGUUCCGGCCGCAGAGCAUUGUCCAUAUGUGAAGACGUUACCAUUGCAGAGCUGUAGCGUCGCCAGUUUGUAACAAAAUCACUAU